rnacentral:rRNA from 1 species
UCCUACGGGAGGCAGCAGUAGGGAAUCUUCCGCAAUGGACGAAAGUCUGACGGAGCAACGCCGCGUGAGUGAUGAAGGCUUUCGGGUCGUAAAACUCUGUUGUUAGGGAAGAACAAGUGCUAGUUGAAUAAGCUGGCACCUUGACGGUACCUAACCAGAAAGCCACGGCUAACUACGUGCCAGCAGCCGCGGUAAUACGUAGGUGGCAAGCGUUAUCCGGAAUUAUUGGGCGUAAAGCGCGCGCAGGUGGUUUCUUAAGUCUGAUGUGAAAGCCCACGGCUCAACCGUGGAGGGUCAUUGGAAACUGGGAGACUUGAGUGCAGAAGAGGAAAGUGGAAUUCCAUGUGUAGCGGUGAAAUGCGUAGAGAUAUGGAGGAACACCAGUGGCGAAGGCGACUUUCUGGUCUGUAACUGACACUGAGGCGCGAAAGCGUGGGGAGCAAACAGGAUUAGAUACCCUGGUAGUCCACGCCGUAAACGAUGAGUGCUAAGUGUUAGAGGGUUUCUGCCCUUUAGUGCUGAAGUUAACGCAUUAAGCACUCCGCCUGGGGAGUACGGCCGCAAGGCUGAAACUCAAAGGAAUUGACGGA